rnacentral:rRNA from 1 species
AUGUCUCUACCCGGUGGUAGUGCAGUCGGACUGGCUGAAGCUCUUUCAGUUCUAUCUAGCAAUGGUCUCAUAAGAUCAGCGUAUGGUCAGUUAAUCCUAGAGAUCAAGAGUUUGAUGAAUAGAAGGGAGUUUUUACCUCAGAAAAUUCAUCAUAGUCGGAAUAGUGUUGCAGAUCGGUUGGCCAAUUAUAGCCGCACCGAGAGAACCACGGCUGUGUGGGUACACUCGAUUUCACCUUGUAUCGAGGAUUUGUGGCCUCUUGAUUGUAACACUGUGACAUUGCAAUAA